rnacentral:rRNA from 1 species
GCACAAGGGUGGAGCAUGUGGUUUAAUUCGACGCAACGCGAAGAACCUUACCUGGGCUCGAAAUGUAGUGGAAUCCGGCAGAAACGUCGGCGUCUAGCAAUAGACCGCUAUAUAGGUGCUGCAUGGCUGUCGUCAGCUCGUGUCGUGAGAUGUUGGGUUAAGUCCCGCAACGAGCGCAACCCUUAUCUUCAGUUGCUACCAUUUAGUUGAGCACUCUGACGAAACCGCCUCGGAUAACGGGGAGGAAGGUGGGGAUGACGUCAAGUCCUCAUGGCCUUUAUGUCCAGGACUACACACGUGCUACAAUGGCCGGUACAAACCGCUGCAAACCCGCGAGGGGGAGCUAAUCGGAAAAAGCCGGCCUCAGUUCGGAUUGGAGUCUGCAACUCGACUCCAUGAAGCUGGAAUCGCUAGUAAUCGUGGAUCAGCAUGCCACGGUGAAUACGUUCCCGGGC